ensembl:antisense
AUUACACAUUAAGAGAGACUCUGUCUAUAAAUGAAUGGAUGAAUGAAUGAAAACAAAGCCAAUAAACAAAGAUCUCACAUAAUAGCCUACAGGCAGGAUGAAAUUCCUAACUACUAAAGUAAAAAGGAAGGAAGAGAGCCAUAGAGAAGAAAGAGGGCCUGACAGACCAUCAGACUAUAGGCAUAGAUGGUUAACUAACAAAAGGGAGAAGAACAUGCUGGAAGGAAAAAGAUCAGAGAGCUGAGAGAAGACUGAGUACCAGCAGUCUAAGGUUCAUCUGGACAGGGUUGGGCAACUGGAAAACCCAGUGGCCAGGGGUCCUCCUGCUUACCUUUGGCAGAGUCCUUAAGUAGGCACGUGCAGCGCUGGACCAGUAGAGAAAACAUAGCCAAGCCCAAGGAUGCAGCUUGUUCCUGGAUCACAGAACGGCACUCCUCUGAGAAGCAGUCUGCAAAGAAGCAAAGGAGCCGCCAUUACAUUCUAGGGGCCAAGUGCUACUUUGCUGCCCUAUGGAAGGGCUCCCUGACCACAGUGCUCAGCUUUGUUUUCUUUCUCUAAAAUGACAGGUGGUGGUAGUAAGCUUUCUUGGAGGAGAUUUAUAUGACUUUAUAUUACAUAUAUAUAUAGCACUUGCCAGCAUGCCCUGCACACAGAAGAAUGCCUGAUAUCACAAGAUCCCCUAUGUAAGUCUUUUAAAUUUUUAAUUUAUUAUUUUUAAUUAAAAAUGUACCACUCAUUAGAUAAAAUUUAACACAAUUCAAUUUUAGGCUUAUAUAUAUAUAUAUUUAAUUUUAUAUACAAUGGUGUGAUGGUGUCAGAUACCUCAGAACUGGACAGUUAUAGACAGUUGUGAAUUGCCAAGUGGGGGCUGGGAAUUGAACUCAGGUCCUCGGGAAGAGCAACCAGUGCUCUUAACCACUGAGCAGCCUCUCCAACCCCUAGAUUCUUCUUGAUUCCACACUGUGAGAAAUUUCUAGCAAAGAGAGUGUAUAUAAGAAGGCAACACCACAAAGUCACUUUCUUUUCUAGAAUGCUCAAAGUUAGAUCAUUGGAAAGAGGUGAAAUCUUACAUAACUCAAUUGUAUGUUAUUUUAAAUUUUAUUUUUAAAAUAAUUUUAUACAUGUACAUAAUGUAGUUUGAGUAUAUUCACUCUUUACCCUCUCUUACCCCCUGCCAGUCCUUCUGAACCCCUUGUAGGUCCCAACAAGUCCCCCUCUUAUUUUCCUAUCUUUUAUUUUUAAUUUCUUUGCUUUAGAGAUUUCUUUGUAUUUUAUGUGUGCCUCACUUGCAUGUGAAUGUAUAGUCAAUGUGCAUGGCUAAGGCUUGGGGAUGCCAGACAGGUCCUCUGGGAGUUAUGGACACUGUGAGCCUCCAAACCCAGACUCCAGCCCCUGUCAUUUUUUUAAAACAUUAUUUAUUCUUUGGUAACCAUAUAUGACUGCAUUUAGAUCAUGUGCACCUCCCUACUCCACCCUCUAUUUUUCAGUGACUCAUCAAGAUUAAUUAAAGUAGCUAGUGUGAACAUGGGUAUAGGUUAUUAUUUAGUGGAGCACAAGCAGCUCAUCAUAGUAUACCACUGAUGAAAAAUGAUUCCUCACCCACCUCUAUAAAUUCUUAUCACAUCACUUCCCUAAGCCUCAUUACCUCAAAGUGCACAAAAUAAGCUGGAGUUACAGAGUCUCUGCUUCAGUUAGCUAUUGAUAAUGUAAAGCUAUAGUACCAAAACCUUAUUUCACUAGCAGGAACACAGUCAGUAACAGAUUUACAACUUAUCUUCUUAGAUCACUAACUUUGGUUUCAGGCUUAGGCCCUCUAUAGUUCUCAUCCUAAGACAGCAUACAUGAGACACAAAAACACAUCAACUUAUUUUUACUGAAUGAAUUACCUUUGUCAAAAACAAUGCUUAUUACAUAACGUACUAGAUCAGUGUUAAGUCUCCCCCACCCCUCCACCAGGGGUUAAAAAGAAUAAAUCUGGCUUCUAACACCAGCACCCUGGUUUCUCACUCUUACAUCCUGGCUUUAACUUAGCCUAGUUUUAGGUCACUGAGAGCCACUUUGUUGAUGGGCAGUUAGUCUUCAUAAUACUCCCACAUCCCUACCUUUACCUACAUACUCUCAGUGACCUCUUCACUGCCAUUCCAUCCAGUUUUCAGGGCAAUAACAAUAUUCCAGAAGCAGCAGUUUGACUUCAGCCUCAGAGGGGAAAUGCCCAACACACACAGGGAGAUGGGCACAGUGGCCGGCCAAACUCACCAGCUUUGUAGCAACUCAUCUGAUAAUCCCCUCUGUAACACAGGAAACCUCAAGCUCCUGCUGUAAAAGGAUAAUUACCCACACAUUUGAUCUCUGUCCCUGCCUGCAUUUUGUUUGACUUGCCAGCUUACUAGUUUGCCAAGAACCUAAACAAGUUACUCCAGGAGACACUACACAACCAUGGCUAUUCCCAAGUCUUCACCACAGGAGCAAGAAUGACUGAAGAAC